UUUUUUUUCUCCCUUACUCUUUAUCCACGCGUUUUCUCUCUUUAUACAUCCAAUAACCUCAACAUAUUCUGUACCAAACUACGUUCUAGUAACCAGCAAAGAAACAUUAAUAUAACAAAGUAAUUAAAGAAUGGGACUUAGAGAUUAUGAAUCCAAGUCAGACCAGCUAACUCGUGUUCUCUAAUUAACAGAUUAAUUAAUUCGUCGUUGAAAUUUGUGAAAUUUCCGUUUAAAACGAGAUUUUCGUAUAAAAAGGAGGGGGUUAAUGCAGAUAGAGAACGAUAGGGCAAGGAAGAAAAAUGGAUUUACAGCUGGGAAUAGUUGCGCGACUGAUAGGGCAAAGCGGGUUACGCUACUUUUUACGGGGAUUUUCCAUUUGCGGUCGUCGCGGUUGCGGAUCAGCCCCGUUGGCAACGGGACGUAUCGUCCGAUUAACUUCCCCUAGGCCAAUUGGAUAUUCCGAUAGGUCUGCAUAUUUACGCGCGAUUCACAAAAGGUGUCGCAUCACCGCGAUAUCGUUCCUCGCCUCGAGCUUUCUCACGCGAAAUCGUAUUUCAUGCUGUUUACAACUAUCUGUGUCAUUGUGCACAAUUGUGGCAAUCAUGAGAUUUGUAUUAUGACAAAUAAAAUACAACAAUCUGUAGAAGUGAGAGAGUCGUUAAGAGAAUUGCUGUUUGAGACAGUCGUUAAAAAAGCCAUUAAAACCAAUGAGUAAGCGGCGAUAUAUAAUAUUUGCAUUUAAUACUUUCGCGAUGUACCAUCAUUUUAUUAAUACAUUUGUUUUAUUAUUAUUAUUAUUGUAAUAACUGCACACUUCUUGGGUUAACAUAUUAAUAACGGCAAUUCAUGCUACACAAUUUGAUUAUUAAUAUAUAUUGUUGGUAGAAUUUGAUAUAAUCGUCAAUACGUAAAUAAAAUGUGAAACUGUAAAAUUGGGAAAAUUGGAUGACCAACGCUCGUUCACUAUCAAACGAAAUUCCGUGAAGAGAAUUCCUGAAGUGCCUGGUGGAAAUUGUAAUUGGGAUAAAGAGUUCGGUACAGCGCGUCCGAAAUCAAUUGACCGUUCAACAUCACUUCGCCUAUUCCAAGAGCGACUCACAGUUAAGACGAAGUGGGGGAAACUCCUUAACCUGCAAAGCUUAGUUUCGAACCACCGAAUAAUAUGGUGGGAUUUGUUCUUUCAUGGCUUCGAACGGUCAAUUGAUACUACGUGUAACAGAACUAAAAAGAUUUUAGUUGGUCGAAGCUACGUAAAGGGAAUUUCACAACGAAGAACCGUGUCAACUGUGAAUCGAUUAAAUCGAGGAAAGUUCAAAUAUUUAAAAAGAAAGGAAACAUGAAAAUAGAAAGGAAAAUAGAAACAAGGGGGCGGAUUUGCCAAAAAAUUUCAAAUGAAAAACUGGUGUAAAAUUUUGCAAGGCGAAAGUUUGAAGUCGACCGAUCUUUCAAAGUAAAAGGUAACGUUCGUUGCUUAAGAAAAGAAAUUACCCGCGGAAUAUGAAACGUUUUGGCUGGAAACACAGUUUAAAAUGGAACGAUGCGGAUUGUUGACAAUCGGGGGAAAAAAAGACAGGAAGAAGCAAGCAACUUUGACGCAAACAACUUUUUACUGAAAUAUC
rnacentral:misc_RNA from 1 species